ACCAAUCGCAGAUGUUCAUUGUCUAGGCCUUGCGUCUCUUUCUCGCGCGUGGCUCUCUUUUUCCCCGCGCGUGCCGCUGUCGAUUACUCGUGCGCUUCGUCGCGAGUCGGAGGCACGGUAGCGCGGAGCGAUAUCUAUAAAUAGAUCAUACGUUCCCGCGUCUCGCCCUUUUCGGCGGCGAUCGGCGCGGCGAACGGAUCUCUGACGUGUACUUCACUCGGCGGCGGCGUGAUUGUACUUCGUGAAGAUCUGCAUGAAGAGACAUGAA